AGGAUGAACGCUGGCGGCGUGCUUAACACAUGCAAGUCGAACGAAGCGCUUAAAUGGAUUUCUUCGGAUUGAAGUUUUUGUGACUGAGUGGCGGACGGGUGAGUAACGCGUGGGUAACCUGCCUCAUACAGGGGGAUAACAGUUAGAAAUGACUGCUAAUACCGCAUAAGCGCACAGUGCUGCAUGGCACAGUGUGAAAAACUCCGGUGGUAUGAGAUGGACCCGCGUCUGAUUAGCUAGUUGGUGGGGUAACGGCCUACCAAGGCGACGAUCAGUAGCCGGCCUGAGAGGGUGAACGGCCACAUUGGGACUGAGACACGGCCCAAACUCCUACGGGAGGCAGCAGUGGGGAAUAUUGCACAAUGGGGGAAACCCUGAUGCAGCGACGCCGCGUGAGCGAAGAAGUAUUUCGGUAUGUAAAGCUCUAUCAGCAGGGAAGAAAAUGACGGUACCUGACUAAGAAGCACCGGCUAAAUACGUGCCAGCAGCCGCGGUAAUACGUAUGGUGCAAGCGUUAUCCGGAUUUACUGGGUGUAAAGGGAGCGUAGACGGUUGUGUAAGUCUGAUGUGAAAGCCCGGGGCUCAAACCCGGGACUGCAUUGGAAACUAUGUA
rnacentral:rRNA from 1 species